UUUCCGUAGGUGAACCUGCGGAAGGAUCAUUAACGAGUUAGGGUCUUCUAGGCCCGACCUCCCAACCCUUUGUUUAUUGAACCUCUGUUGCUUCGGCGGACCCGUCUCACGACCGCCGGAGGAUCGCUGUGAGGCGUCCUCUGGCCAGUGCCCGCCGAUAGCCAAACUUGAACUCUGAAUUAAAUCGUGUCAUGUGUCUAAGUCAUUGAUUAAAUAAAGCAAAACUUUCAACAACGGAUCUCUUGGUUCUGGCAUCGAUGAAGAACGCAGC
rnacentral:misc_RNA from 1 species